UACAGCCUCGCGACUAAUGAGAGGAUUGAUAUUCCAAUCAUCAAUUCUCUCAUUAGCCGCGCGAAUUCGGAUGUAGUUUUCAGUGGUUUUAAUUAAAACAGUCAAUUAUCGAUAAUAGCUUAACAUUUUAGUUAAGUAUAAUUCGAGUAUUACUUCAACUUUCAAUUAACUUUUAGAAGAAAAGGGGCCAUUUGGCCCCUUUCC
rnacentral:sRNA from 1 species